rnacentral:rRNA from 1 species
GAUGAACGCUGGCGGCGCGCCUAACACAUGCAAGUCGAACGGUUAAAGCACCUUUUAGGUGUGUAUAAAGUGGCGAACGGCUGAGUAACACGUGGGCAACCUGCCCUCCUCUUGGGGAUAGCCUCGGGAAACCGAGGAUAAUACCCGAUACUUCAAUGUGGCCGCAUGACGACAUUGAGAAAGCUUUUGCGGAGAAGGAUGGGCCCGCGGCCUGUUAGCUUGUUGGUGGGGUAGAGGCCUACCGAGGCAAUGAUGGGUAGCUGGGUUGAGAGACCGACCAGCCAGAUUGGGACUGAGACACGGCCCAGACUCCUACGGGAGGCAGCAGUGGGGAAUCUUGCACAAUGGGCGAAAGCCUGAUGCAGCGACGCCGCGUGCGGGACGAAGGCCUUCGGGUUGUAAACCGCUUUCAGCAGGGACGAGGCGAUAAGUGACGGUACCUGCAGAAGAAGCCCCGGCUAACUACGUG